rnacentral:rRNA from 1 species
AUCAUGGCUCAGAUUGAACGCUGGCGGCAUGCCUUACACAUGCAAGUCGAACGGUAACAGGGAGCUUGCUCCGCUGACGAGUGGCGAACGGGUGAGUAAUAUAUCGGAACGUGCCCUAGAGUGGGGGAUAACUAGUCGAAAGAUUAGCUAAUACCGCAUACGAUCUAAGGAUGAAAUGGGGGAUCGCAAGACCUCAUGCUCGUGGAGCGGCCGAUAUCUGAUUAGCUAGUUGGUAGGGUAAAAGCCUACCAAGGCAUCGAUCAGUAGCUGGUCUGAGAGGACGACCAGCCACACUGGGACUGAGACACGGCCCAGACUCCUACGGGAGGCAGCAGUGGGGAAUUUUGGACAAUGGGCGCAAGCCUGAUCCAGCAAUGCCGCGUGAGUGAAGAAGGCCUUCGGGUUGUAAAACUCUUUUGUCAGGGAAGAAACGGGUUGAGCUAAUAUCUUGGCCUAAUGACGGUACCUGAAGAAUAAGCACCGGCUAACUACGUG